CAUACGGGGCUUAUGUCUUUGUAAAAUUGGAUGAUGGGAAUUUAAACCUCUUCCAGAGUAUCAAUUGGAGGGCAAGUCUGGUGCCAGCAGCCGCGGUAAUUCCAGCUCCAAUAGCGUAUAUUAAAAUUGUUGCAGUUAAAAAGCUCGUAGUUGAAUUUCUGCUGCAUUGCAUUUUCUCCUAUACGAGUUUUUGCAUUGUGGCUUAUUUCGGUUAUAAAAUUUAUUUUUAUUUCCGGAUGUUUACUUUGAGAAAAUUAGAGUGCUCAAAGCAGGCUUUUGCCUUGAAUAGUUUAGCAUGGAAUAAUAAAGUAGGACUUUGGUUCUAUUUUGUUGGUUUUAGGUACCAAAGUAAUGGUUAAUAGGAACAGUUGGGGGC
rnacentral:rRNA from 1 species